GCCAGGCCUGGAGUGUGUUGUCACUCUGUCCCGCCUCGAGAUCACAAGCCUAUGGUGUCAUGGAAAGAGAUCUGGGCUCCGGAGGCCAAAGAGCCCGGGGCCUGGUCCUCCUCUGCCACAGAUAAUGCUGUGCGACCUUGGCAGUUCCCCCCACCUCUCUGGGCCGUGGGGAGUUUCCUGUGGGUCAUAACGUGCACCAUGGACCUGGCACAUGGUAAAAGGAGACUGCGCACCCAUUUCCACAAUACCAAGGAGGACAGAACAUUUUUGGGAGUCCUCUCUGUGAACAGUGAAAACACCACAUAAGGAAAUUGCCCUUCGGACCAGCCCAACGCCUCAGUUCCUUGGUUAAAUGAAGCAGAAAACAAACAAAUAAAUAAUGUCACUUAUUCUCUAGUCAGAAUCAACAUCUACCAGACUUGGCUCUGAACCACUUGGGGCUUUUUCCAAACUUCAGUUCCAACCCUGAGAAUCUGCUACCAUGGAGGGCAGCAAAACAACACUCCAAGGCUUGGACAGCAGGUGAAAGAGGAGUGCUCCAAACCACGUUCUGAACUGGGCAGCACCUCUGGAGUAAGAAUGUAGCCUCCCCAGGGGAAUACUGAGAAUUGGACACACUGAAAAUAUCAAUAAUUCAUCUGGAUGGAUAAUGUACUUGGCACAAAGUUCAAGGGGUUCCAUUCUGUGAGUUGCCUUUUCACUCUGUUGAUGAUGCACAAAAAGUUUCCAUCCUGAUGAGUCCAGUUAAUCUAUUUUUUUCUUUCAUGGCCUGUACUUUGGGGUCAUAUCCAAGAAAUCACUGCCAAACUCGAUGCCACAAAUUCUACCCCCUAUGUUUUCUUCUAAAAGUUUUACAGUUUCAUGUCCUUAAUCCAUUUUGAGUUCAUGUUUGUAUAUGGUGUAAAGUAAGGGUCCAGCGUCAUUCUUUUAUGUGGGAAUAUCUAGUUUUCCCAGCACCAUUUGUUGAAGACUGUCCUUUCCCCAGUGCAUGGUCUUGGCACCCUUGCUGAAAAACAUUUAGUGGUAUGGGCAAGGAUUUAUUUCUGGGCUCCCUGUUGUAUUGCGUGGGCCUGUAUAUCUGUCCUUACAACAGUACCACGCUGUUUUGAUUACUGUAGCUUUGUAAUCAUUUUGAAAUCAGGAAGUGUGAAGCCUUCAACUUUGUUCUUUUUAAUAUGUUUGGCUAUUUAGAGUGCCUUGAGAUUCCAUGUGAAUUUUAGGAUGGAUUUUUCCCAUUUCUUCAAAAAAAUAUCUGUGGGAUUUUGAUAGAUACCCCACUGUACGUCACUUUGGGCAGUAUUGACAACUUAACAACAUUAAGUCUUACAGUCAAUGAAUAUGGGAUGUCUUUCCAUUUAUUUGUGUCUUCUUUAAUUUAUUUUAGCAAUGUUUUCUAGUUUUCAUAAGCCAGUCUUAUGCCUCAUUGGUUAUGUUUAUUCCUAAGUAUUUUAUUGGUUUGAUGCUAUUGUAAAUGAAAUUGAUCAUGUGGGGUUUUCCCUUCAUUCUGUACAUGUGGUAUAUUAAACUGAUUGAUUUUCAUAUCUUGAA